GCGCCUUAGUUAACAUUGAAAUAAGGCACAUCAAGAAAAAAGAUAAAAGCCAUGUGGCAGUUAUUGCACAUCACAAGACUGGCCAUAUAGCACCCAUUACCCUCGUUUUUUCCGAGGAACUAUGGAGGUUCAUGGAUAUCUAUUUGUCCAAGAUCAGAUCGAGGUUGCCCGGCUUCAACAGUGAGCAUGAGGAGGAGAAGAGUCGGCGGUUUUCCUGACGUACCCAUCAAAGACAGCCAGCCCCUCUGCUUUGAACCAAUCCUCGGUGAAUAAAGCCAUCAAAUCAAUUUAGAAGGCUGCAGAGCAAAAAUAGGCCAUUUCGGAAACUCAGCUGAGGAAGGCCACGGCUACUUCAGUUAGAUCUAAGUACCCACUGGCCCGUGACAUUUUGGCCCAACAAAUGAGCCACCGCCCGUCAACGCAAGACACAUAUUAUAUGUUAACUCAGAAGAAAACUGAUGCAGUCAAGAUAGUUAGAGUAAUAGAGAGUGUUAUGAGAAAUGUGGAUGAAGAGGUCAGGGAAAUUGAUGGAAGUGAGGGUCCAAUUAUCCAGGAGGUGGAUUACAUGGAAAAAGAAAACGUACUUCCACUG